GUACACGCUGUGACUAGCAUAUCAAUAAGCGGAGGAAAAGAAACUAACAAGGAUUCCCCUAGUAACGGCGAGUGAAGCGGGAAGAGCUCAAAUUUGAAAUCUUAAAGGGUUUCCCUUUACGAAUUGUAGUUUAAAGAAGUGUUUUCUGUUGAGGUUUUGGUAAAAGUUCUUUGGAAUAGGACAUCAUAGAGGGUGAGAAUCCCGUAUUUGACCUUUACUUUCAACUUUGUGAUACACUUUCAAAGAGUCGGAUUGUUUGGGAAUGCAGUCCAAAAUGGGUGGUAAAUUUCAUCUAAAGCUAAAUAUUGGCGAGAGACCGAUAGCGAACAAGUACCGUGAGGGAAAGAUGAAAAGAACUUUGAAAAGAGAGUUAAACAGUACGUGAAAUUGUCAAAAGGGAAGCGUUUGACACCAGUGUUGUUUUUCUGAAAAUCAAUUAAAGAACUGUUUAUGCUAAGUUGUUUAGACUUUAUCAGCUAUCUGUUUAGUUUUGAGCUUUUCUUUAAUGCACUUUUCAGUUAACAAGUCAACAUCAAUUUCUUUUGCUGUAAAAAAGCUUGAGGAAGGUGGCUUGAGAUUCGUCUUAAGUGUUUAUAGCCUCUUGCCUAUGCAGUCGGAGAGAUUGAGGUCUGCAGCGUAGAUCCUUCGGGGCUAAAUGCAUUUGUGCUAAGUUAUAGCAUUUUAUAGACAACUUGUUGACUAUGAUUUGUCUUGUAGCUUACUCGCUUAUGUUAUUUUACCUACGCUUAGGAUGUUGACGCGCGUGUGUGCGUG
rnacentral:rRNA from 1 species